GAAAUGCGAUAAGUAAUGUGAAUUGCAGAAUUCAGUGAAUCAUCGAAUCUUUGAACGCACAUUGCGCCCCCUGGUAUUCCGGGGGGCAUGCCUGUCCGAGCGUCAUUACUGCCCUCAAGCGCGGCUUGUGUGUUGGGCCCUCGUCCCCCCCCGGGGGACGUGCCCGAAAGGCAGUGGCGGCGCCGUGCCCGGACCUCGAGCGUAUGGGGCUUUGUCACCCGCUCUGGAGACCCGGCCGGCGGCCGUCGGACCACCCCAACCUUUUUAACCGGUUGACCUCGGAUCAGGCAGGGAUACCCGCUGAACUUAA
rnacentral:misc_RNA from 1 species